ACUUUUCAUUUUGCUUACCGGGUUCUGUUUUAUUGGUGCUAAGAGAUUCUUACGAAAUCUGUUAUAGACAGAUUUUACAGGGUUUUUCAAGUUUGACCUUUUUAGUUUAUGAUCUUUUGGGGUUUUCAUUAUGCUGUUUUUGAAUUCCUAACUAUUUUUGCUAUUUCUGUGUUACCCAUUUCUCUCUUCUUCUCUCCUGUUAAUUUCCUGCUCUAUGUUUUUGAAUUUAAUGGCUCUGUAUCAAUCUCUAGGUUGUUGAUCUGUACGUUCAACUUUUGUUUUAGGUGUUGCUUUCAUGUGAUUGCAAGGUACUGUUCUGCUGUUUUGCUUGAUGUUGUAAAACAUCCAGUUCAUGUUGUGCUGACAACUAGAUGAUUAUUGCGGACGUUGAGCAAUAUGGGAACUGGGCUCUCUUCUACUGAAAUGGGUGAGGAAACUAAUGUUCAGUAUGUUACUUUUGGUGAUGUUUCUUCACCUAGGGCAGAUGACUCAAAGAAGGUAUCAGUUUUACCCCUCAUUUUCCUCAUCUUCUAUGAAGUAUCUGGAGGUCCUUUUGGGGUUGAGGACAGUGUUCAGGCAGCUGGGCCCCUUCUGGCCCUUGUUGGCUUCUUGGUCUUUCCAUUCAUUUGGAGUGUUCCUGAGGCUUUAAUUACUGCUGAGAUGGGCACCAUGUUCCCUGAGAAUGGUGGUUAUGUGGUUUGGGUGUCCUCUGCUUUAGGGCCCUAUUGGGGGUUUCAGCAAGGUUGGAUGAAAUGGCUUAGUGGUGUGAUCGAUAAUGCUCUGUACCCAGUCCUGUUCCUGGACUACCUGAAGUCAGCUAUCCCAGCUUUAGGUGGGGGUUUACCACGAAUCAUUGCAGUCUUGGCAUUGACUGUAGUGCUUACUUACAUGAACUACAGGGGUUUAACCAUUGUAGGUAGGGUUGCUGUUCUUUUGGGGAUUUUUUCAAUCCUUCCUUUUGUGGUUAUGGGACUUGUCGCAAUUCCAAAGCUGAGGCCUUCGAGAUGGUUAGUAGUGAACCUGCACAAUGUGGACUGGAAUUUGUAUUUGAACACACUCUUUUGGAACCUAAACUAUUGGGACUCAAUUAGUACCCUUGCUGGGGAGGUGCAUAACCCGAAGAAAACUCUGCCAAAAGCUCUCUUUUAUGCUUUGAUCUUGGUUGUUCUGGGGUAUUUCUUCCCUCUUCUGAUCGGUACUGGGGCUGUUCCCCUAGACCGGGAAUUGUGGACUGAUGGAUAUUUCUCAGAUAUUGCCAAAUUACUAGGGGGAGUUUGGUUGAGAUGGUGGAUCCAGGGUGCUGCAGCCAUGUCAAAUAUGGGGAUGUUUGUGGCUGAAAUGAGCAGUGACUCUUUCCAACUUCUGGGAAUGGCCGAACGGGGGAUGCUGCCAGAGUUCUUUGGCUGGAGGUCUCGUUAUGGAACUCCUCUGGUUGGGAUAUUGUUCUCAGCUUCUGGCGUGGUUUUGCUGUCAUGGCUAAGCUUUCAAGAGAUUAUAGCGGCAGAGAACUUCUUGUAUUGUUUUGGAAUGAUAUUGGAGUUUAUAGCAUUUGUUUUGUUGAGGAUGAGAUACCCAGCAGUUUCUAGACCUUACAAGAUACCAGUGGGAACAGUUGGAGCAGUCCUUAUGUGUGUUCCCCCAACCAUAUUGAUCUGUAUUGUGUUGGCUCUUUCAUCACUCAAAGUUGCAGUUGUAAGCCUGGUUGCUGUGGUUAUUGGUCUAGUAAUGCAACCUUGUCUCAAGUUUGUUGAGAAAAAGAGAUGGAUUAAGUUCUCCAUUAAUGCUGAACUUCCAGAUCUUCAUGGUGCUAAUCAGGGGGGGUGGUGAUUCCUUAAUAUAAUAACAAUCAUGGUUAAGAAAAGGUAUCCAACCAGAUGAUCCUUCUAUAACAAUGCUGAUUAUCAAGACUUCUUACAAUCAGCUAGCUGACCACAAUUAUGGACCUUGGAAGCUAUUGGCAAACAACAAAGCAAGGCAGUGUAUAAACUUCUUUUGCACCAGCCACCAGAAGAGUAGAUAGUCAAUGUGGAUAAACGUGAUCAGAAAGGUGAAUUGGAAGGGACGACUAUAAGCAUUAAGGAAUUUGAUUAUCUUUGCUGAUAUCAGGUGCCUUUUGCUACACACACAGUCCUGUUCUCGUAUCAUUCAUAAAUGGUCUAUUCUGGUUUGUGCUCUGCAUUUCAGGCACUCUUGGUUUUGAGAACAUGGUGAAACUGUGACCGGUGAACCUGGUGACAUACUUCAACACGGGUUAUGUGUGUUCUCUUUGUCUUAACAGUAGUCCCAUAUAAUCUUUAUGUGACUUAUAUUCUUUUUUAUUGAACUAAUGGUUGAUUUUUUUUAUUUUUUUGAAACUUUGUGGAAGGUUCAAUUCUGCUAAGUAGAACAUUAUAAAUUGUGGCAUUUGGUCUGGGCUGCCCAGGGAAGAAUAAAGAACUUAACUAAUUAGCUCCUCA